rnacentral:rRNA from 1 species
CUACGGGGGGCAGCAGUGAGGAAUAUUGCACAAUGGGGGAAACCCUGAUGCAGCAACGCCGCGUGGAGGAUGACGCAUUUCGGUGUGUAAACUCCUUUUAUAUGUCAAGAAAAUGACGGUAGCAUAUGAAUAAGCACCGGCUAACUCCGUGCCAGCAGCCGCGGUAAUACGGAGGGUGCAAGCGUUAUUCGGAAUCACUGGGCGUAAAGGACGCGUAGGCGGGAUAGAAAGUCAGGUGUGAAAUCCUAUGGCUCAACCAUAGAACUGCACUUGAAACUUCUAACCUAGAGUAUGGGAGGGGGAGAUGGAAUUAGUGGUGUAGGGGUAAAAUCCGUAGAUAUCACUAGGAAUACCGAAAGCGAAGGCGAUCUCCUGGAACAAUACUGACGCUAAGGCGUGAAAGCGUGGGGAGCAAACAGGAUUAGAUACCCGGGUAGUC